GAUGUUGCCAAGCAAAUGCAGCAGAACCAGCCUGACUGCCUGAAACUGUGCCUCAAAAUAGGGAAAAACAGGGAGAAACCUGUAAGCAGGAGCACUAGAUGCUACAGCCCUGCUGCUCAAAGUGUGGUCCAUGAACUAGCAGCAUCACCACCACCUGCAGAAGCUCAGGUCCCACUCCCUGCUGAAUCAGAAUCUACAGCUCAUGAAGAACCCCAGGUGGUUUACAAGCAUACUGAAGUUUGAGAAGUACUGCUUUAAAAGAUGCAUUCUAAUUGGACUUUUCGACCUAAAAAGCACGAAUAGAGGAGAGGAAGUUAUGGUCACAGGUCCACCUUCAUCUGGAGUGCCUAUGUGCUGCUGUGCUUCUGCUGACCUACUGGACAUACUUUGUUUGGUUUCAAAGUCAAGGAGCGACAUUCCCAUAUGGAUAUUUCCUAUGAAAACCAAGUUUGUGAUUUAUUCUUAUUUCAUCCUGGAAAAUGUAACAGUGUUUAUCCUUAACUAAGGAGAAAAGAACAUGUUUGUUAUUUUUUUCUUGCUUUGAACCUGAUGCAGGGAAUUUUAUUUUAAUUAACUUAAUAAGGACCCAUGAACUCACUACGUCAUUUAACAACAAUCCACAUCUAAUCGUUUGGCUAAGGCCCCAUGCAAUCUCCUGACCUCCCCCAAGUGAAGUAAGCUCCAUCCUGAAUCAUGUUCAUUAUUCUCUACAUUUCUUUUUUAGGUAACUUUGUUGUCCUUAUAACAAUUAUAAAAUAAUAUUAAUUAUUUUAAAUUUUACAUACAAGAUAUAAUGCUGUAUCUAAUAUUUUGGGAUUUUUUUUUCACUUAACAUUACAUUGCUAAGAUUCGUCCAAACUCCUGUAUGACGAUUAUCGAAAGGGAAUAUUAUUCAUCUGCUUGCCUACUGAUGAGCAUUUGCAUUGUUUAUGGGUUUCUGCUCAUGAUACAGAAAGGAAAAUCACAUCAUGCAAAAAUAGCAAGUAAAGCCUAGCAGCAAUCAUCUUAUUGUCCCUUUACCACUAUAAAAUUCCACAGUGCAAAAACAAAAUAUUGGCACCUAAAAUGGAGUUGUGUUCCAACAGAUUCAGAGCUGUUUGAGACUCACAAUAUAUUUCCCCGAAGAAACAAUUCUCUACAUGGUGGUUAGUCCACUGGCUGAUGCACAGAAGGCUGCUUAAUUCAUAAUAAACCAAAAAGGACGACAGAGCCAAACCAUUCUGGUACAACAGCCUUCCUGAUGAAAAUGCACCCACCAGGGAAAUCACAGCACUCCUAUAGAAGCAGACCAGGCAGCAGGACAAGGCUCCUGUUUUCUUUUCCUGAAGUCUCACCUAGCCUUAGCCAGAGGCAGCAACUCCAGCCAAGGGAGGGAACAGGCUGGCCUGAGGCUUCUAGGCCCAGGGAGAUACUGGGAGGGAGACUCUGAGGCCAAGAACUGAAAGGGAACGGUGACUUAGAAGAAGUGACAAGAACUCUAGUGGAAGGAGUGAGGGAUGGUCAAAAAGUGAAUAGUUUCCUCUGCAUUUUUAGCACUGGUCAGUGGGGAUCAACAGCAAGGUGGGGUCAGGAGGCAGCCGCAGGGUGCCUCUACCAGGUGACAGGCUUGCAUUUUCUUUCUCUUCUUCACAGUCUUACCUCCUCUUUCACAGGGGCACCUACUUGCACUUAGGAUGGGGCAUUUGAGAGGCAGAAUAUGGGGCUCUUGGAAGAGGUGGAGAAUACUGAAAGGAGGUGCCACCUCCUCUGUGUUUUUGUGUCUGCAGUGGUUGGGAGGGAGAGCAGGAUGGAGCCUCUGGGUGCUAUGCCCACAGUAACUAUUGCUCUCUAAGGACUGGUCCUAUAUUGGGAAUAUGUAGGUCAGAGCCUGUAUACUGAAAGAAAAUGCAUACAUUUACCUGUUCUAAAAAAAGACGCUGCUAUUUUUAGGGCUUUGAAUGAGGUAUGCAGGAAUGUGUGAGUUACAACUAAACCUCUGGUAAGUUUAACGUUAGGAAAUCUAUUUAAAAAUUUGGGUCAAAAUAGUUCUAUAAAAAUGUACUACAUUUGCAAUAUUUUGUUAUAGUUUUUGCAACUGUAUAUAUAGCAUUU
ensembl:lncRNA novel transcript, antisense to CDK14